rnacentral:rRNA from 1 species
UUGCGGUUAAAAAGCUCGUAGUUGGAUCUCGGCGGGCAGGGGGUGGUUCGCUCUUCAGCGCUACUGCCCCGCUUUGCCCGUGUGAUUGGCGGAGGUUUCGGGGUGCUCUUCGUUGAGUGACUCGGAGCGCCGUCAGGUUUACUUUGAAAAAAUUAGAGUGCUCAAAGCAGGCUUUUCACGCUUGAAUAUUCGUGCAUGGAAUAAUGGAAUAGGAACUCGUUUCUAUUUUGUUGGUUUUCGGAAAUCGAGUUAAUGAUUAACAGGGACAAUUGGGGGCAUUAGUAUUCAGACGACAGAGGUGAAAUUCUUGGACCGUCUGAAGACUGACUACUGCGAAAGCAUUUGCCAAGAGUGUUUUCAUUAAUCAAGAACGAAAGUUAGAAGUUCGAAGGCGAUCAGAUACCGCCCUAGUUCUAACCAUAAACGAUGCCAGCUAGCGAUCUGCCGAGUUUUUUUUGUAGGCUCCGCAGGAAGCUUUCGGGAAACCAAAGCUUUUGGGUUCCGGGGGAAGUAUGGUUGCAAAGCUGAAACUUAAAGGAAUUGACGGAAGGGCACCACCAGGAGUGGAGCCUGCGGCUUAAUUUGACUCAACACGGGAAAUCUCACCAGGCCCGGACACUGGAAGGAUUGACAGAUUGAGAGC